CCGCAAUGCCCUCCUUGGGCGUUUCCUCCCUAGACUUAGGCCGUCUCGGAAACGAGCGGCCUUUUUUUUGCCUGAU
rnacentral:sRNA from 1 species